rnacentral:rRNA from 1 species
AAUCAACGCUGGCGGCGUGCCUAACACAUGCAAGUCGAACGCGAAAGCCCCGCAAGGGGUAAGUAGAGUGGCGCACGGGUGAGUAACACGUGGAUAACCUGCCUUUGAGUGGGGAAUAACCUUCCGAAAGGAGGGCUAAUACCGCAUGACACCCUUGGACAAAGGUCAAGGGGUUGAAAGGAGCGAUUCGCUCGAAGAGGGGUCCGCGCCUGAUUAGCUAGUUGGCGGGGUAACGGCCCACCAAGGCUUCGAUCAGUAGCCGUCCUGAGAGGGAGCACGGCCACACUGGAACUGAGACACGGUCCAGACUCCUACGGGAGGCAGCAGUGGGGAAUUUUUGGCAAUGGGCGAAAGCCUGACCAAGCAACGCCGCGUGGGUGAUGAAGUAUCUUGGUACGUAAAACCCUUUCGGCAGGGACGAACCUAAUGACGGUACCUGCGGAAGAAGCCCCGGCUAACUCCGUGCCAGCCGCCGCAGUAAUAC